GGACGAGCCUCUGGAGAGACUCAUAGGAGCACCGAAGGGGAAAGCCAAGCUUGCUUGGUGAAACUCUCAGGUAAAAGGACAGGGGAUUUUUA
rfam:Geosporobacter subterraneus DSM 17957 genome assembly, contig: EJ58DRAFT_scaffold00059.59